CCUACGGGCGGCUGCAGUGGGGAAUAUUGGACAAUGGGCGAAAGCCUGAUCCAGCCAUGCCGCGUGUGUGAAGAAGGCCUUCGGGUUGUAAAGCACUUUCAGUGGGGAAGAAAGCCUUGGGGCUAAUACCCUCGAGGAAGGACAUCACCCACAGAAGAAGCACCGGCUAACUCCGUGCCAGCAGCCGCGGUAAUACGGAGGGUGCGAGCGUUAAUCGGAAUUACUGGGCGUAAAGCGCGCGUAGGCGGUCUGAUAAGCCGGUUGUGAAAGCCCCGGGCUCAACCUGGGAACGGCAUCCGGAACUGUCAGGCUAGGGUGCAGGAGAGGAAGGUAGAAUUCCCGGUGUAGCGGUGAAAUGCGUAGAGAUCGGGAGGAAUACCAGAGGCGAAGGCGGCCUUCUGGACUGACACUGACGCUGAGGUGCGAAAGCGUGGGUAGCAAACAGGAUUAGAUACCUUGUAGUC
rnacentral:rRNA from 1 species